rnacentral:rRNA from 1 species
UACAGAGGUCCCGAGCGUUGUUCGGAUUUAUUGGGCGUAAAGGGUGCGUAGGUGGGUUGGUAAGUCAGUGGUGAAAUCUCCAGGCUUAACUUGGAAACUGCCAUUGAUACUAUCUGUCUUGAAUAUGGUGGAGGUAAGCGGAAUAUGUCAUGUAGCGGUGAAAUGCUUAGAUAUGACAUAGAACACCCAUUGCGAAGGCAGCUUACUACGCCUAUAUUGACGCUGAGGCACGAAAGCGUGGGGAUCAAACAGG